AAAAGUUGCGCUCCGACCUUCUCACGACCUACAUUCUUCCCGGGCACUCCUGAGUUUGAGCCGGGCCUGGAGGACCUGGGCCAAGACUUUCGAGCGGCGGCCGUCCGCGGGGCGAGGAGCCGGCCCCGCUUUCCUCACUGGGUCCCGCGCAGGCGUCCCCGGGACCGCAGAGCAAACUUUCUGGACUGUCUGAGGACACUUGUCCAGCGAGCCCCACUGCUCGGGGAGGAGGAGCCACGGCCGGGGACAGUGAUACACUUGGGUGUUGAAGGACAUUUUUGAAAUCAUGAGAACUCAAUGUUUGACUAUGAAUGUUUCAUUAUAACUGCCUGGAAGGUUAGCGUCAAAGAAGUUGAGAUUUUUAAAGUCAUCUUCUAGGGGUUUCCAGCAGAGCCAAAUGUUAGAGAAAUCUUUCCGCUCCUCUGAAGAGUGAAGUGAGCAAAUACAACCCAGCAGUAGGUUAUUGAAGACAGCAGCCCCAGGUUUUGGAAGGUGACAAUGAAAUGUGAAGAAGUUACAUUUCUCAAACUCGAAAGUUAGUGACUGCUUACCAAAUUUUAAUGAAAAUUAAAUAUGACUUAGAAGCAUUGAUUUAUGAAGGCU
rnacentral:sRNA from 1 species